rnacentral:rRNA from 1 species
UCUGAGACACGAAUCCAGACCCUACGGGGUGCAGCAGGCGCGAAAACUUGGCAAUGCGAGCAAUCGUGACCAGGGAACUCCAAGUGGCUGGGGUAAUACCCAGUUUUUUCUUGACUCUUCAAAGGUCUUGGAAUAAGGGGUGGGUAAGGACGGUGCCAGCCGCCGCGGUAAUACCGGCGCCUCAAGUGGUAGUCGCUUUUAUUGGGCCUAAAACGUCCGUAGCCGGUCUGGUGCAUUCGUGGGUAAAUCAACCCGCUCAACGGGUUGAAUUCUGCGAGCACGGCCAGACUUGGGACCGGGAGAGGUGUGGGGUACUCUCAGGGUAGGGGUAAAAUCCUGUCAUCCUGAGAGGACCACCUGUUGCGAAGGCGCCACACUAGAACGGAUUCGACGGUCAGGGACGAAACCUAGGGGCACGAACCGGAUUAGAUACCCGGGUAGUCCUAGGUGUAAACGCUGUGGACUUGAUGUUGGGGGUGCUCCGAGCACUCUCAGUGUCGAAGCGAAGGUGAUAAGUCCACUGCCUGGGGAGUACGGUCGCAAGGCUGAAACUUAAAGGAAUUGGCGGGGGAGCACUGCAACCUGAGGAUUGUGCGGUUUAAUUGGACUCAACGCCGGGA